UACGUAGGGUGCAAGCGUUGUCCGGAAUUAUUGGGCGUAAAGGGUAGGUAGGUGUCUCAUUUGUCAGGGGUGAAAGCCUUGGGCUUAACUCAAGAAGUGCCCCUGAAACGGUGAGACUAGAGUGCUGGAGAGGGUCGUGGAAUUCCCGGUGUAGAGGUGAAAUUCGUAGAUAUUCGGAAGAACACCAGUGGCGAAGGCGACUGACUGGACAAGUAUUGACGCUGAGGUGCGAAAGCGUGGGGAGCAAACAGG
rnacentral:rRNA from 1 species